rnacentral:rRNA from 1 species
AGCCCCGUACACAAAAAUGCACAUAUUGUGAGCUCGAUGAGUAGGGCGGGACACGUGGUAUCCUGUCUGAAUAUGGGGGGACCAUCCUCCAAGGCUAAAUACUCCUGACUGACCGAUAGUGAACCAGUACCGUGAGGGAAAGGCGAAAAGAACCCCGGCGAGGGGAGUGAAAAAGAACCUGAAACCGUGUACGUACAAGCAGUGGGAGCCUCUUAAUGGGGUGACUGCGUACCUUUUGUAUAAUGGGUCAGCGACUUAUAUUCUGUAGCAAGGUUAACCGAAUAGGGGAGCCGAAGGGAAACCGAGUCUUAACUGGGCGUUAAGUUGCAGGGUAUAGACCCGAAACCCGGUGAUCUAGCCAUGGGCAGGUUGAAGGUUGGGUAACACUAACUGGAGGACCGAACCGACUAAUGUUGAAAAAUUAGCGGAUGACUUGUGGCUGGGGGUGAAAGGCCAAUCAAACCGGGAGAUAGCUGGUUCUCCCCGAAAGCUAUUUAGGUAGCGCCUCGUGAAUUCAUCUCCGGGGGUAGAGCACUGUUUCGGCAAGGGGGUCAUCCCGACUUACCAACCCGAUGCAAACUGCGAAUACCGGAGAAUGUUAUCACGGGAGACACACGGCGGGUGCUAACGUCCGUCGUGAAGAGGGAAACAACCCAGACCGCCAGCUAAGGUCCCAAAGUCAUGGUUAAGUGGGAAACGAUGUGGGAAGGCCCAGACAGCCAGGAUGUUGGCUUAGAAGCAGCCAUCAUUUAAAGAAAGCGUAAUAGCUCACUGGUCGAGUCGGCCUGCGCGGAAGAUGUAACGGGGCUAAACCAUGCACCGAAGCUGCGGCAGCGACACUAUGUGUUGUUGGGUAGGGGAGCGUUCUGUAAGCCUGUGAAGGUGGCCUGUGAGGGUUGCUGGAGGUAUCAGAAGUGCGAAUGCUGACAUAAGUAACGAUAAAGCGGGUGAAAAGCCCGCUCGCCGGAAGACCAAGGGUUCCUGUCCAACGUUAAUCGGGGCAGGGUGAGUCGACCCCUAAGGCGAGGCCGAAAGGCGUAGUCGAUGGGAAACAGGUUAAUAUUCCUGUACUUGGUGUUACUGCGAAGGGGGGACGGAGAAGGCUAUGUUGGCCGGGCGACGGUUGUCCCGGUUUAAGCGUGUAGGCUGGUUUUCCAGGCAAAUCCGGAAAACCAAGGCUGAGGCGUGAUGACGAGGCACUACGGUGCUGAAGCGACAAAUGCCCUGCUUCCAGGAAAAGCCUCUAAGCAUCAGGUAACAUCAAAUCGUACCCCAAACCGACACAGGUGGUCAGGUAGAGAAUACCAAGGCGCUUGAGAGAACUCGGGUGAAGGAACUAGGCAAAAUGGUGCCGUAACUUCGGGAGAAGGCACGCUGAUAUGUAGGUGAAGCGACUUGCUCGUGGAGCUGAAAUCAGUCGAAGAUACCAGCUGGCUGCAACUGUUUAUUAAAAACACAGCACUGUGCAAACACGAAAGUGGACGUAUACGGUGUGACGCCUGCCCGGUGCCGGAAGGUUAAUUGAUGGGGUUAGCGGUAACGCGAAGCUCUUGAUCGAAGCCCCGGUAAACGGCGGCCGUAACUAUAACGGUCCUAAGGUAGCGAAAUUCCUUGUCGGGUAAGUUCCGACCUGCACGAAUGGCGUAAUGAUGGCCAGGCUGUCUCCACCCGAGACUCAGUGAAAUUGAACUCGCUGUGAAGAUGCAGUGUACCCGCGGCAAGACGGAAAGACCCCGUGAACCUUUACUAUAGCUUGACACUGAACAUUGAGCCUUGAUGUGUAGGAUAGGUGGGAGGCUUUGAAGUGUGGACGCCAGUCUGCAUGGAGCCGACCUUGAAAUACCACCCUUUAAUGUUUGAUGUUCUAACGUUGGCCCGUAAUCCGGGUUGCGGACAGUGUCUGGUGGGUAGUUUGACUGGGGCGGUCUCCUCCUAAAGAGUAACGGAGGAGCACGAAGGUUGGCUAAUCCUGGUCGGACAUCAGGAGGUUAGUGCAAUGGCAUAAGCCAGCUUGACUGCGAGCGUGACGGCGCGAGCAGGUGCGAAAGCAGGUCAUAGUGAUCCGGUGGUUCUGAAUGGAAGGGCCAUCGCUCAACGGAUAAAAGGUACUCCGGGGAUAACAGGCUGAUACCGCCCAAGAGUUCAUAUCGACGGCGGUGUUUGGCACCUCGAUGUCGGCUCAUCACAUCCUGGGGCUGAAGUAGGUCCCAAGGGUAUGGCUGUUCGCCAUUUAAAGUGGUACGCGAGCUGGGUUUAGAACGUCGUGAGACAGUUCGGUCCCUAUCUGCCGUGGGCGCUGGAGAACUGAGGGGGGCUGCUCCUAGUACGAGAGGACCGGAGUGGACGCAUCACUGGUGUUCGGGUUGUCAUGCCAAUGGCACUGCCCGGUAGCUAAAUGCGGAAGAGAUAAGUGCUGAAAGCAUCUAAGCACGAAACUUGCCCCGAGAUGAGUUCU